rnacentral:rRNA from 1 species
AUGGAAACCGACAGCUCGGAGGUUGUUCAACUUUGGAACUCGCGCCGUACUUCGCGCUCGCUAAUAGCGCCGGUGUUGCUUGAUAUUGAGGGUUUAGCUACAAAUUUUUCUGUUUUCUCUAUUCGUCAUGUAAAGAGACACGCCAAUGUCCCGGCCCAUCUAUGUGCUAGACAUGCAUGCAUACUAGAGGUGUCGGAGUGUUGGCUGAACUCCCCCCCGGGUUGCUGGUAA